rnacentral:rRNA from 1 species
ACACGUAGGGGGCGAGCGUUGUUCGGAAUCAUUGGGCGUAAAGCGCGCGCAGGCGGUCCUUUAAGUCUGAUGUGAAAGCCCACGGCUCAACCGUGGCGGGUCAUUGGAAACUGGGGGACUUGAGUGCAGAAGAGGAAAGUGGAAUUCCAAGUGUAGCGGUGAAAUGCGUAGAGAUUUGGAGGAACACCAGUGGCGAAGGCGACUUUCUGGUCUGUAACUGACGAUGUGGCGCGAAAGCGUGGGGAGCAAACAGGAUUAGUUACCCUGGUAGUCCACGCCGUAAACGAUGAGUGCUAAGUGUUAGGGGGUUUCCGCCCCUUAGUGCUGCAGCUAACGCAUUAAGCACUCCGCCUGGGGAGUACGGUCGCAAGACUGAAACUCAAAUGAAUUGACGGGG